GCCCAGACUCCUACGGGAGGCAGCAGUGGGGAAUAUUGCACAAUGGGGGAAACCCUGAUGCAGCGACGCCGCGUGAGCGAUGAAGUAUUUCGGUAUGUAAAGCUCUCUCAGCAGGGAAGAAGAUGACGGUACCUGACUAAGAAGCCCCGGCUAACUACGUGCCAGCAGCCGCGGUAAUACGUAGGGGGCAAGCGUUAUCCGGAUUUACUGGGUGUAAAGGGAGCGUAGACGGCGAUGCAAGCCAGAUGUGAAAGCCCGGGGCUCAACCCCGGGACUGCAUUUGGAACUGUGUGGCUGGAGUGUCGGAGAGGCAGGCGGAAUUCCUAGUGUAGCGGUGAAAUGCGUAGAUAUUAGGAGGAACACCAGUGGCGAAGGCGGCCUGCUGGACGAUGACUGACGUUGAGGCUCGAAAGCGUGGGGAGCAAACAGGAUUAGAUACCCUCGUA
rnacentral:rRNA from 1 species